rnacentral:misc_RNA from 1 species
GGGGGGGGGGGGGGGGGGGGGUUUUUUUUUUUUUUUUUUUUGUGAAAUAAUCUCAACUGGGUAUCUUGAACUUUCAUCGAUUGUGCAUUUCUCUUUUGCCAAAUUAUUAUUGUAGAACGUAGACUGCAGUUUGAGAUCUCUCCCAUGAUAACCCCUAUAAUUGGGAAAGUAUUGUAGACUGCAAUUGUCAUUUACUUCAUUUGAGAGUUAAUUUAGAACUGAGCAUUUAGUAUAACAAAUUAGCAAUUGUAUAAAUUUUAUACCUUUUAGUUUUAUUAUGUGUGCAAUUACUUCCUUUGCUGUUCAAGACAGGUAAUUCAAAUUUAUUAUUUGUUGUCAUUUUUGCUUAUUGUUCUUCCUUUUUUGCUGGAUUAACUGGAUUUCCUGCCUUUUUAAGGUGCAUGUUAUUGAUAUGGCAAUUCGUUUUUGUAAAGUUUGCAAAAAAUGGAAGGUGUUGGCCUCAGAUAAUGUUCUGUGGUCUAAUCUCUUCCAGGAUAGAUGGGGAGGAGAUCGUGCUGCUUUCUAUGCCCCUGUUGACUCAAAAUUAUGGAAACAUGCGUAUGAGGUGCAAGAUCGUUGUGAUCGAAUUGGAUUGUAAGUUAAAAGUCAAUUUUCAUUUUGUUACUUGAAGUCUUGCUUACCAAUCUACCCCACUUUGCUUUGCCUCUUGCACAUCCAUACUAGUUGAUUAUUACAUACUCAGUAUUUAAAUGGUGUAUGCUUAUGUUUCUUAUGUUGACAAUGGUGUGGUCAAAAAGAAAUGUCUACUGUGAAAAUGAUAUUCUUGAUUAGCAAAUAGAUUAGCAUCUGUCUUACGUCCAUGAACUUCCUGGAAAGUUCAGUAGAAAACAGACUUCUACCAUUGAAAGACCUGAUUUCUACCAAGUUUUCCUGAUCUCACCACCUGAGAUUCAAAAAUGAUAGUACUUUUAUGAGCAUGGCAGAAGUUUUUAAUGUUUAAAUCACUUUGUGAUGGUUUUAUGAGAAGACGAUAGAGAACAACCAAUUUUCUGAUCAACUAGAGCUUAAGCCCAUUGUAGUUUGCUGUUCUAGCUUAAGCAAAUGCAUAUUGGUUCAAGACAUUGAAAGUAAAAACUAGUUUCACAUCUAUUUCAUCAAAUGCCUGUCAUUUAAACAUUGUAUUGAGUUUGUGAAUCAUGUAGACACAGUAACUAUGAGAACUUAAUCUGACUUGCAAUAAUAAAAAUGAUGACCAUGGCACCAAUGUUAUGACUAAGUGAACGGGUGCUCCUUUACAUGAGCAGGGGGCUGAAGAUAAUCAGAGAAGGUGGUGACUACUAUCUUGUUCACCAAGGAGAAAUCCAACGGUAUUUGGGUUCGAGGAGAAAAAGUAAAAGGGCAACCAGUUCUCAAAAUUCAAAAGCAGAGCUUACAGGAGAUCAAUUCACGAAAGUUGAGGAAUCCUGCUGUCGAGGUAUACUGGACAAAAUACUUUUCUUCAUUGGGGACUUGGAAGUAGCAUCAGCAGAUGCUAAACGUGGUCGAAUUGAAUAAGCAGUCUUCAAGUUGUCACUUAACAUACCCAGAAG